rnacentral:rRNA from 1 species
GACGAACGCUGGCGGCGUGCCUAAUACAUGCAAGUCGAACGAGAGCGACCGGUGCUUGCACUGGUCAAUCUAGUGGCGAACGGGUGAGUAACACGUGGGUAACCUGCCCAUCAGAGGGGGAUAACAUCCGGAAACGGAUGCUAAAACCGCAUAGGUCUUCGAACCGCAUGGUUUGAAGAGGAAAAGAGGCGCAAGCUUCUGCUGAUGGAUGGACCCGCGGUGCAUUAGCUAGUUGGUGAGGUAACGGCUCACCAAGGCCGUGAUGCAUAGCCGACCUGAGAGGGUGAUCGGCCACAUUGGGACUGAGACACGGCCCAAACUCCUACGGGAGGCAGCAGUAGGGAAUCUUCCGCAAUGGACGCAAGUCUGACGGAGCAACGCCGCGUGAGUGAAGAAGGUUUUCGGAUCGUAAAACUCUGUUGUUAGAGAAGAACAAGUGCUAGAGUAACUGUUAGCGCCUUGACGGUAUCUAACCAGAAAGCCACGGCUAACUAUGUG